UACGUAGGUGGCAAGCGUUGUCCGGAAUUAUUGGGCGUAAAGCGCGCGCAGGCGGUCCUUUAAGUCUGAUGUGAAAGCCCACGGCUCAACCUUGGAGGGUCAUUGGAAACUGGGGGACUUGAGUGCAGAAGAGGAAAGCGGAAUUCCACGUGUAGCGGUGAAAUGCGUAGAGAUGUGGAGGAACACCAGUGGCGAAGGCGGCUUUCUGGUCUGUAACUGACGCUGAGGCGCGAAAGCGUGGGGAGCAAACAGG
rnacentral:rRNA from 1 species